rnacentral:lncRNA from 1 species
CUUUCAUUAUGGCGCAUGCCCAAGGGGAGGGGGCUGUUGCCAGCCCCUUUCCAACCAUCUUGACCAGCCCAUAAGGAAAGAAAAUAUUUGAAAAAAGUGGCUAAGUAUACCAAAUCAGAUUUGGUUCAAAUUUGGAUCAAUUCCAAUCCAAUUCGAAUCAAUUUCGAAAAGACUGCUGAUCCAAAUCCAAUUAGGAUUCAUGUCCAAGUCCAACUUGAUAAAUUAACCCAAUCAAGCCUUAAUAAAAUCAAAUCUAAUUAGAUUAGAUCUAAUCUAAAGUAAUUAGGACUCAAUCCAUUCUCCCAUAAUUGCUUGGAUCAUUGAUUUAAUUUAAUUCAUCCCCAAAAUUAAACCCGCACCUCAUGCGCAAUGCUAGCUGAACAUAGUCAGUGUUUAAUUCUGUAUGACCUAUAACUUGAAAGUUAAUCUACAUAUUCAAUCAAGUCUCAUACUUUUAAAUCAAAUAUAUAAAUAUUCGAUCAAUUCUUUCCUAUAUUGUUUGACUUUUGUGCAUGACUCCAUAAAUUCAAACACUAAGCCGAUAGGAUAGAAAUACUUUUCUAUACUAAUUGAAGUGACCA